rnacentral:tRNA from 1 species
ACCUGGGUAGCUCAGUCGGUUAAGCAUCUGACUUCGGCUCAGGUCAUGACCUCACAGUUCGUGAGUUCGAGCCCCAUUUCGGGCU